rnacentral:rRNA from 1 species
CAGUCGCCGCGGGAAUACGUAGGUGGCAAGCGUUGUCCGGAAUUAUUGGGCGUAAAGCGCGCGCAGGCGGAUCAGUCAGUCUGUCUUAAAAGUUCGGGGCUUAACCCCGUGAGGGGAUGGAAACUGCUGAUCUAGAGUAUCGGAGAGGAAAGUGGAAUUCCUAGUGUAGCGGUGAAAUGCGUAGAUAUUAGGAAGAACACCAGUGGCGAAGGCGACUUUCUGGACGAAAACUGACGCUGAGGCGCGAAAGCCAGGGGAGCGAACGGGAUUAGAUACCCCCGUAGUCCCUGUCUCUUAUACC